rnacentral:rRNA from 1 species
GACGAACGCUGGCGGCGUGCUUAACACAUGCAAGUCGUACGGAAAGGCCCUGCUUUGGUGGGGUGCUCGAGUGGCGAACGGGUGAGUAACACGUGAGUAGCCUGCCCUUGACUUUGGGAGAACUUCAAGUAACUGGGGCUAAUACCGGAUAGGAGCUCCGGCUGCAUGGUGGGGGUUGGAAAGUUUCGGCGGUGGGGGAUGGACUCGCGGCUUAUCAGCUUGUUGGUGGGGUAGUGGCUUACCAAGGCUUUGACGGGUAGCCGGCCUGAGAGGGUGACCGGCCACAUUGGGACUGAGAUACGGCCCAGCCCCCUCCGGGAGGAAGCAGUGGGGAAUAUUGCACAAUGGGCGGAAGCCUGAUGCAGCAACGCCGCGUGCGGGAUGACAGCCUUCGGGUUGUAACCCGCUUUCGCCUGUGACGAAGCGUGAGUGACGGUAAUGGGUAAAGAAGCACCGGCUAACUACGUG